rnacentral:rRNA from 1 species
ACGCUCGACACCUACGGGAGACAGCAGUGAGGAAUAUUGGUCAAUGGACGCAAGUCUGAACCAGCCAUGCCGCGUGCAGGAUGACGGCUCUAUGAGUUGUAAACUGCUUUUGUACGAGGGUAAACGCAGAUACGUGUAUCUGUCUGAAAGUAUCGUACGAAUAAGGAUCGGCUAACUCCGUGCCAGUAGCCGCGGUAAUCUGAGCGGGCUGGCAAGGC